rnacentral:rRNA from 1 species
AGGGAAGCAGUGAGGAAUAUUGGUCAAUAGCCUAACUGGCUGAACCAGCAACUUGGAGGAAUGUAUAGGGAAAACUGGUAAAAUGUGAUGUACCUAAUAGUAUUAGUGAUUAAUAUGAAAUUAACUAAGUUAAUUAAAAUUCGAAGUAGAUAGUGAUUAUGACAUUAUUUGCUUAUUUCUUGACUAAGUCACGUGCCAGCAGUCGCGGUAAUACGUGGUAGAUCAGUGUUAUUCAUCUUAAAAAGGUUUAAAGGGUACCUAGACGGUUAAUUAAGCAUAUUUUUGUACUAAUUAUUAACUAGAGUUUAAUGUAAGAAGGAUUGAGUACGGUGAGUGUAGAGAUAAAAUUCUGUCAUACCACUUAGGAACUGGUAAAGGCGAAGGCAACCUUCUAUGUAAAAACUGACGUUAAGGGACGAAGGCUCGUAUUAAGCAAUAGGAUUAGAGACCCUAGUAUUGUGGGCAGACAAUGAUGAGUGUCAUAUGCAAGAAAUUUUUUGUGUAUAAAUGAAAGUGUAAGCAUUCCACCUCAAGAGUAACGUGGCAACAUGGGAACUGAAAUCAUUAGACCGUUUCUGAAACUCGUAGUGAAGUAUGUUGUUUAAUUUGAUAAUCCUCAAAUAACCUUACCACAAUUUGAAUUACUGGUGAAUAUUAGUAACUAGCAACAAGCGUUGCACGGCUGUCUUCAGUUAAUGUUGUGAAACUGUGGUUAGAUCCAUUAAAUUGACGUUUACCCUUGCUUUAUUUAUUAUAAAGCAGUUCGCCGCUAUAUUGGUAGUGAUAUAAGGGACUAAGACAAGUCAUCAUGACCUGAACAUUUGUGGGCUAUAGACGUGCUCACAUUAAU